GGCGGCGCGCCUAACACAUGCAAGUCGAAUGAGAGAGAAGGAGCUUGCUUCUUCGAUCGAGUGGCGAACGGGUGAGUAACGCGUGAGGAACCUGCCUCAAAGAGGGGGACAACAGUUGGAAACGACUGCUAAUACCACAUAAGCCCACGGGUCGGCAUCGAUCUGGGGGAAAAGGAGCAAUCCGCUUUGAGAUGGCCUCGCGUCCGAUUAGCUAGUUGGUGAGGUAAUGGCCCACCAAGGCGACGAUCGGUAGCCGGACUGAGAGGUUGAACGGCCACAUUGGGACUGAGACACGGCCCACACUCCUACCGGAGGCAGCAGUGGGGAAUAUUGCACAAUGGGGGAAACCCUGAUGCAGCGACGCCGCGUGGAGGAAGAAGGUCUUCGGAUUGUAAACUCCUGUUGUUGACGAAGAUAAUGACGGUACUCAACAAGGAACUGACGGCUAACUACGUGCCAGCAGCCGCGGUAAAACGUACGUCACAAGCGUUGUCCGGAAUUACUGGGUGUGAAGGGAGCGCAGGCUGGAAGACAAGCUGGAGGUGAAAUCUAUGGGCUCAGCCCAUAAACUGCUUUCUGAACUGUUUUU
rnacentral:rRNA from 1 species